AUUGAACGCUGGCGGUAUGCUUAACACAUGCAAGUCGAACGGUAACAGGCCUUCGGGCGCUGACGAGUGGCGGACGGGUGAGUAACGCGUAGGAAUCUGCCUAUUAGUGGGGGACAACGUGGGGAAACUCACGCUAAUACCGCAUACGCCCUACGGGGGAAAGCUGGGGACCUUCGGGCCUGGCGCUAAUAGAUGAGCCUAUGUUGGAUUAGCUAGUUGGUAGGGUAAAGGCCUACCAAGGCGACGAUCCAUAGCUGGUCUGAGAGGAUGAUCAGCCACACUGGGACUGAGACACGGCCCAGACUCCUACGGGUGCUG
rnacentral:rRNA from 1 species